CAGGCUUAACACAUGCAAGUCGAGGGGCAGCAUUUUAGUUUGCUUGCAAACUGAAGAUGGCGACCGGCGCACGGGUGAGUAACACGUAUCCAACCUGCCGAUAACUCCGGAAUAGCCUUUCGAAAGAAAGAUUAAUACCGGAUAGCAUACGAAUAUCGCAUGGUAUUUUUAUUAAAGAAUUUCGGUUAUCGAUGGGGAUGCGUUCCAUUAGUUUGUUGGCGGGGUAACGGCCCACCAAGACUACGAUGGAUAGGGGUUCUGAGAGGAAGGUCCCCCACAUUGGAACUGAGACACGGUCCAAACUCCUACGGGAGGCAGCAGUGAGGAAUAUUGGUCAAUGGGCGAGAGCCUGAACCAGCCAAGUAGCGUGAAGGAUGAAGGCUCUAUGGGUCGUAAACUUCUUUUAUAUGGGAAUAAAGUUUUCCACGUGUGGAAUUUUGUAUGUACCAUAUGAAUAAGGAUCGGCUAACUCCGUGCCAGCAGCCGCGGUAAUACGGAGGAUCCGAGCGUUAUCCGGAUUUAUUGGGUUUAAAGGGAGCGUAGGUGGAUUGUUAAGUCAGUUGUGAAAGUUUGCGGCUCAACCGUAAAAUUGCAGUUGAAACUGGCAGUCUUGAGUACAGUAGAGGUGGGCGGAAUUCGUGGUGUAGCGGUGAAAUGCUUAGAUAUCACGAAGAACUCCGAUUGCGAAGGCAGCUCACUAGACUGUCACUGACACUGAUGCUCGAAAGUGUGGGUAUCAAACAGGAUUAGAUACCCUGGUAGUCCACACAGUAAACGAUGAAUACUCGCUGUUUGCGAUAUACAGUAAGCGGCCAAGCGAAAGCAUUAAGUAUUCCACCUGGGGAGUACGCCGGCAACGGUGAAACUCAAAGGAAUUGACGGGGGCCCGCACAAGCGGAGGAACAUGUGGUUUAAUUCGAUGAUACGCGAGGAACCUUACCCGGGCUUAAAUUGCAACAGAAUAUAUUGGAAACAGUAUAGCCGUAAGGCUGUUGUGAAGGUGCUGCAUGGUUGUCGUCAGCUCGUGCCGUGAGGUGUCGGCUUAAGUGCCAUAACGAGCGCAACCCUUAUCUUUAGUUACUAACAGGUGAUGCUGAGGACUCUAGAGAGACUGCCGUCGUAAGAUGUGAGGAAGGUGGGGAUGACGUCAAAUCAGCACGGCCCUUACGUCCGGGGCUACACACGUGUUACAAUGGGGGGUACAGAAGGCGGCUACCUGGUGACAGGAUGCUAAUCCCAAAAACCUCUCUCAGUUCGGAUCGAAGUCUGCAACCCGACUUCGUGAAGCUGGAUUCGCUAGUAAUCGCGCAUCAGCCACGGCGCGGUGAAUACGUUCCCGGGCCUUGUACACACCGCCCGUCAAGCCAUGAAAGCCGGGGGUACCUGAAGUACGUAACCGCAAGGAGCGUCCUAGGGUAAAACUGGUAAUUGGGGCUA
rnacentral:rRNA from 1 species